AAAAAGGCAAACCGUGGGUUCCCGUGCCAACGUUUGACUGUCUGUCUUAUAUGAAAUUUUUUUAUAAUGAGUAUUUUCAUUGUUGUUGUUAGAUGAUAAAACAUGAUUAAUACUUUAUGCGUGACUUAUCUUUUUAAAUUUUUUCAUAACUUUUUAAAUAAGAUGAACAGUCAAACGUUGGACACAGAAACCAGGGUUUGUCUUUUU
rfam:Oryza sativa (indica cultivar-group) chromosome 11, whole genome shotgun sequence.